AGAGUUUGGGUCCCAGGAGCUGUAUGUGAAGUCUCCUUAUUCAGUCACUGGAAUAGUGUAAAGUUCCUUCUCUAUGUUGAACUCAUAAAGGUCCUGAAUGCACCAAAUGACAAAGCUGCCCACCUGUCAGAGCCAGAGAGGGGGUAGAUAUCGGUACCAUCCCAAAAGUCUGUGCAGGCCUCAAGGAUGAUGUCAGCUGUCCCAUGAGAAAACAUCUGCUCAGUGCCUGAAGUGUAGGAGAACAACGAGUCAGCAUCACACAAACAGGCUCCCAGGAAAGGGAUAUCAUACCAACCGCUCCCUUAUUUGUUAAAAGCGAGUGUUCCUGCAAACUGCCUUGACGCACUCCAGAUAUCCCCUUUCCUCUAUUGAAAGUCUUCAGUCUCCGUCAAGAAAUUAUUCAAGACUGGAUGAUAUAUAUUCAGCUGCUAUUUAUCUAACUAAAAGAUAUUCCUGUGUUCCUCUUCUCAAGAGAGCACAAGCACCAGUGAUGAGCCUGCGGGGAUCAAAGUCUGCCUACACUGGAAAGUGCGUUCGAUUUUAGGCCAGCCAUGCAUCUAAAGGGCUUUUUUCUGGGUGGCUGACUGAGCACCCUACUGUGAAUGCCCUGCACUCAUCAUCACCUGUCUGAUUCUCCAUUUUCCUGAAAUCACCUUCCCUUCUGUGAACUUUAGACUGCUGGCUGGAAUUAGAGCACCUAGAUAAUAUCAGAUCAAAGUGGGUUGAAUCAUCCUCCAUCCUCUGUGGAUUCGGUCCUUUGCAGAAUAAGGGCUUCUCACCAAGACUGCUGAACACUUGAAUGUAACUGCCUUUACAAAGAUUGUUUAAACAAAUAAGGGAAUAGAAAACAGAAGAUUUACUAGAAGCUUCAAUUUUCAGAGACUGCAGAUCCAGCCCUCUGAUUCAGAGUGGUAUGGAAAACCCCUAUGAGGCAGCUGUCAGAUUGUUUCCCUCUUUCCAGGCUGCACACACUAGGCCCCUUUUUUAACACUUCUACUCAAUUGUUUUUCAGAUUUAAACAUUUGGAGGCGGGAAACUGGACAGCAGAAUGUUCUUCCUUUUUCUGAGAGCUAUUUUGCAUUCCUUAGCAGAAAAAGAAGGUAGUUUUUAAUUUAACAAUGACACUUUGCAGGCUAUUAAUCUAAUUCAGGGAUUACACCUCCUGAAAUGUAAGCAUUAUUCACAGUUUCAAAAACACAUGAGAAGGAGUAACUCCACCAAAUAUAUUUGCAUUUAGUAUUGUAAGUCAGAUUCUUGCUUAGGAUAAGGCACAACAUGACACAUAGUGGGGUUUUUGGGGUAUCAUCAGAGAGGAUGGCAGACAUCAUACACACAACAGUGCGCAAUUUCUUGGGGCAACAUUUCUUACAGCAGGCUAGUGCUAGAGAGGGAUUUAUUCUUGUUCUAAAGCAAAUCAUAUGUCAGGAUGCUACAGCUCUGUCCAACUGCAGCUGCUGAGCUAGUGCUCAGUCUGCCUGAAAUGGCAUAUCCAUGCUACAAAAUGAUACAGAUGUAGCCAGCAAAGCCAAUGUAUAGGCCACUCUGGGCAAAAGUUUCCCUUUGCUACUUACAUCCUUGGUCUGAUUAUAGUCUUUCUUAGUGCCCACCUGGUUCCUUUUCAAAAGAGGUCUGAUCCCUGACUCCUAGCAAGAGUGCUUCUCUAGUGACUCAGGCUACAUGAAGCCUCCACCCUGACACAUUCCUAUUCCACAGGAUGAACUUUUGAUUAAGACUCUGGACUAACUGUCAGGACAGCUGGAUUCUGUUCCUUCUUCUGCCACAGAUUCCUGCAUUACAGCGUGAAAAUCUGAUGUUCCUCUGCACCUUAGUUUCUCAUCUCUAUAAUGGGACUACCAACUCCCUACCAACCGUAGUCAUUGUGAAGACUAUAAUGUUCACCAACCCACCUGAACACUACUGGACAGCACAGAAAAAAGAAAUAUAUGUUGAUACCUGCAUGAUGCAGCCAGCUCCAUCAAGCAGAUUAUGGCUCUGUGGGGACCACUGCCUUUAAAACUGGACAUGCCAGGAAAGGUAUCAAAAGGCACAAUGAACACAGCUAUUCAACUUGGUUUAAAUGCCACCUGACAUGAGCUUGGCAGCCACAGCUUAACUGUUGGUGAUCUCAGAUCAAAUGCAACAAGCAAAGUCUUCAGCACCACACUGCCCAUAUUAAUGGACGGAGCAAUAGUCAACAACUGUCUCCUUCCUCCAUCUGCAGCAACAGGAUGAAAGGCAGCCCAGACCUCCCCCUGCCCCUGGACAAAAGAGCCCCCACAGUUUGGUAACUGGGUGCUGGCAGCGGCUACAGUGCGGACACUGGCUUUGAGGGUCCCCGCAGCUCAUCGCUAACAGGGCCUGCAGACUUACGCUGCAAAGAGACACAGCUGCAGGAGCACAGAUCUCUGAGAGAUCUGGCCAAAGCAACACGACUCAGCCAUGUGAAUCACCACUGCGUUUUUGUGUGAACAGGGUCCGUUUUAAUCCAGACAAUGACAUUCACAUUUUAUGCCCUCCAUAAAGCACAGAGUAAGGUGCCAACAGGCACGAUCAACCUUUCUACAUGGGUAAUGCAAAGCCCAGCAUUCUGCUUCUCCCUCAGCUAGUAGCAGCUCAACGGCAGAGAAAGAGGCGACUGCUCCCCAGUGUCUGGCUUCUGGAAAAAAUUGGAAGGCAUCCUACAUUACACCUGACAAACUCUGAUCCUCAGCCAUUUCUGACAACGGAACUGUAUUAGCUGACUGGAGCCAGAGGACAAGUCUCUCGUCUUCUGAGUGACAGACGUCUGUGCUGCAGUGGUGCUCUGAGCACGUCCUCUGUUCCAGGAGCGCUAACUCUUCAUCACACACAUAUAUUAGAGCAAAGAGAUUGCUUUCAGCUAGAUUUGGGACUGAUGUUUUCACUUGGGUUCAUUUUAUUUUUAGCAUUUUAAAAUAAACCUAGCAUAUCAAAUUUACUACUGA